UACGAAGGGGGCUAGCGUUGUUCGGAUUUACUGGGCGUAAAGCGCACGUAGGCGGAUCUUUAAGUCAGAGGUGAAAUCCCAAGGCUCAACCUUGGAACUGCCUUUGAUACUGGGGAUCUUGAGUCCGGGAGAGGUGAGUGGAACUGCGAGUGUAGAGGUGAAAUUCGUAGAUAUUCGCAAGAACACCGGUGGCGAAGGCGGUUCUCUGGGCCUGUACUGACGCUGAGGAGCGAAAGCGUGGGGAGCGAACAGG
rnacentral:rRNA from 1 species